rnacentral:rRNA from 1 species
GAUGAACGCUGGCGGCGUGCCUAAUACAUGCAAGUCGAGCGAACGGACGAGAAGCUUGCUUCUCUGAUGUUAGCGGCGGACGGGUGAGUAACACGUGGAUAACCUACCUAUAAGACUGGGAUAACUUCGGGAAACCGGAGCUAAUACCGGAUAAUAUUUUGAACCGCAUGGUUCAAAAGUGAAAGACGGUCUUGCUGUCACUUAUAGAUGGAUCCGCGCUGCAUUAGCUAGUUGGUAAGGUAACGGCUUACCAAGGCAACGAUGCAUAGCCGACCUGAGAGGGUGAUCGGCCACACUAGAACUGAGACACGGUCCAGACUCCUACGGGAGGCAGCAGUAGGGAAUCUUCCGCAAUGGGCGAAUGCCUGACGGAGCAACGCCGCGUGAGUGAUGAAGGUCUUCGGAUCGUAAAACUCUGUUAUUAGGGAAGAACAUAUGUGUAAGUAACUGUGCACAUCUUGACGGUACCUAAUCAGAAAGCCACGGCUAACUACGUG